GUCCGGUCUGAAGGUAGAGACUUACCUCAAUUGACUCUCCAUAAUUACAGAUUGAACGCCUUAUUCUACUCUUACCCCCAUGCUCACUACUGCACUUAACUAGUCUUUA
ensembl:misc_RNA Y_RNA Y RNA